GGCGGCGUGCUAUAAUGCAAGUCGAGCGGACUGAUGGGAGCUUGCUCCCUGAAGUCAGCGGCGGACGGGUGAGUAACACGUGGGCAACCUGCCUGUAAGACUGGGAUAACUCCGGGAAACCGGGGCUAAUACCGGAUAACUCUUUCCCUCACAUGAGGGAAAGCUGAAAGAUGGUUUCGGCUAUCACUUACAGAUGGGCCCGCGGCGCAUUAACUAGUUGGUGAGGUAACGGCUCCCCAAGGGGACGAUGCGUAACCGACCUGAAAGGGUGAUCGGCCCCCCUGGGACUGAAACCCGGCCCAAACUCCUACGGGAGGCAGCAGUAGGGAAUCUUCCGCAAUGGACGAAAGUCUGACGGAACAACGCCGCGUGAGUGAUGAAGGUUUUCGGAUCGUAAAACUCUGGUGUCAGGGAAGAACAAGUACCGGAGUAACUGCCGGUACCUUGACGGUACCUGACCAGAAAGCCACGGCUAACUACGUGCCAGCAGCCGCGGUAAUACGUAAGUGGCAAGCGUUGUCCGGAAUUAUUGGGCGUAAAGCGCGCGCAGGCGGUUCCUUAAGUCUGAUGUGAAAGCCCCCGGCUCAACCGGGGAGGGUCAUUGGAAACUGGGGAACUUGAGUGCAGAAAAAAAAAAUGGAAUUCCACGUGUAGCGGUGAAAUGCGUAAAGAUGUGGAGGAACACCAGUGGCGAAGGCGACUCUUUGGUCUGUAACUGACGCUGAAGCGCGAAAGCGUGGGGAGCAAACAGGAUUAGAUACCCUGGUAGUCCACGCCGUAAACGAUGAAUGCUAAGUGGUUAGAGGGUUUCCGCCCUUUAGUGCUGCAGCAAACGCAUUAAGCACUCCGCCCUGGGGGAGUACGGCCGCAAGGCUGAAACUCAAAGGAAAUUGACGGGGGCCCGCACAAGCGGGGGAAACAUGGGGGUUUAAUUCGAAGCAACGCGAAAAACCUUACCAGGUCUUGACUUCCCUGACAACCCAAAAAAAAAGGGGUUCCCCUCCGGGGGAAGGGGGGAAGGGGGGGGGAGGGGGGGCCCCCACCCCGGC
rnacentral:rRNA from 1 species